GUCACAGAAGAGGAAGUGGUGUUGUAGUUGUCCCCACUGGGGCAGGCGGCGGCGGUGGUGAAGGAACGAGGGUGCACGGGGCCUCCCCGAGGGGCCAAGUGAGAGGCCGGCAGCCACCAUGGAGCUCUGGCGACAGUGCACCCACUGGCUGAUCCAGUGUCGGGUGCUGCCUCCCAGCCACCGUGUGACCUGGGAGGGGGCCCAGGUGUGUGAGCUGGCACAGGCACUGCGGGACGGUGUCCUCUUGUGCCAAUUGCUUAACAACCUGCUUCCCCAGGCCAUUAAUCUUCGCGAGGUUAACUUGCGGCCCCAGAUGUCCCAGUUCCUUUGUCUUAAGAACAUUCGAACCUUCCUGUCUACUUGCUGUGAGAAGUUCGGCCUCAAGCGCAGUGAACUCUUUGAGGCUUUUGACCUCUUCGAUGUGCAGGACUUUGGAAAGGUCAUCUACACCCUGUCUGCUCUGUCAUGGACACCCAUUGCCCAGAACAAAGGAAUCAUGCCCUUCCCAACAGAGGACAGCGCUCUGAACGACGAAGAUAUUUACAGUGGCCUUUCAGACCAGAUUGAUGACACCGCAGAGGAAGACGAGGACCUUUAUGACUGCGUGGAAAAUGAGGAGGCAGAGGGGGACGAGAUCUACGAGGACCUAAUGCGCUUGGAGUCGGUGCCUACGCCACCCAAGAUGACAGAGUAUGAUAAGCGCUGCUGCUGCCUGCGGGAGAUCCAGCAGACGGAGGAGAAGUAUACAGACACACUGGGCUCCAUCCAGCAGCACUUCAUGAAGCCUCUGCAGCGAUUCCUUAAGCCUCAAGACAUGGAGACCAUCUUUGUCAACAUUGAGGAGCUGUUCUCUGUGCAUACCCACUUCUUAAAGGAACUGAAGGAUGCCCUGGCUGGCCCGGGAGCAACAACACUGUAUCAGGUCUUCAUCAAGUACAAGGAGAGGUUCCUGGUUUAUGGCCGUUAUUGCAGUCAGGUGGAGUCAGCCAGCAAGCACUUGGAUCAAGUGGCCACAGCACGGGAGGAUGUGCAGAUGAAGCUGGAGGAAUGUUCUCAAAGAGCUAACAAUGGCCGAUUCACCCUACGGGAUCUGCUGAUGGUACCUAUGCAGCGGGUGCUGAAGUACCACCUCCUUCUCCAGGAGCUAGUGAAACACACACAGGAUGCUACAGAGAAGGAGAACCUGCGGUUGGCCCUGGACGCCAUGAGGGACCUGGCACAGUGCGUGAACGAGGUCAAGAGGGACAAUGAAACCCUACGGCAGAUCACAAACUUUCAGCUGUCCAUUGAGAACCUGGACCAGUCUCUGGCUAACUAUGGCCGGCCCAAGAUUGACGGUGAGCUCAAGAUUACCUCAGUGGAGCGUCGCUCAAAGACAGACAGGUAUGCCUUCCUGCUGGACAAAGCACUGCUCAUCUGUAAACGCCGCGGGGACUCUUACGACCUCAAAGCCUCGGUGAACUUGCACAGCUUCCAAGUUCGAGAUGACUCCUCCGGGGAGCGAGACAACAAGAAGUGGAGCCAUAUGUUCCUUCUGAUUGAGGAUCAAGGCGCCCAGGGCUAUGAGCUGUUCUUCAAGACUCGGGAGCUGAAGAAGAAGUGGAUGGAACAGUUCGAAAUGGCCAUCUCCAACAUUUACCCAGAGAAUGCUACAGCCAAUGGGCAUGAUUUUCAGAUGUUCUCCUUUGAGGAGACCACUUCCUGCAAGGCCUGCCAGAUGUUACUCAGAGGCACAUUCUACCAGGGAUAUCGCUGUUACAGGUGCCGGGCACCUGCACACAAGGAGUGUCUGGGGAGAGUGCCUCCCUGUGGUCGCCAUGGGCAAGAUUUCGCAGGAACCAUGAAGAAGGACAAGCUCCAUCGAAGGGCCCAGGACAAGAAAAGGAAUGAAUUGGGUCUGCCUAAGAUGGAAGUGUUUCAGGAAUACUAUGGGAUCCCUCCUCCACCUGGAGCCUUUGGGCCAUUUUUACGGCUCAACCCUGGGGACAUUGUGGAGCUCACUAAGGCAGAGGCUGAGCACAACUGGUGGGAGGGAAGGAAUACUGCUACAAAUGAAGUCGGCUGGUUUCCCUGUAACAGAGUGCAUCCCUAUGUCCACGGCCCUCCUCAGGACCUGUCUGUGCAUCUCUGGUAUGCGGGCCCUAUGGAACGAGCAGGCGCUGAGGGCAUCCUCACCAACCGUUCUGAUGGGACCUAUCUGGUGCGGCAGAGGGUGAAAGAUACAGCGGAGUUCGCCAUCAGCAUUAAGUAACUCCUCCUUCCAUGACCACGCCCCUUUGACGUAUAACGUGGAGGUCAAGCAUAUUAAAAUCAUGACGUCAGAGGGGUUGUACCGGAUCACAGAGAAGAAGGCUUUCCGGGGCCUUCUGGAACUGGUAGAGUUUUAUCAGCAGAAUUCCCUCAAAGAUUGCUUCAAGUCGUUGGACACCACCUUGCAGUUUCCUUAUAAGGAACCUGAGAGGAGAGCCAUCAGCAAGCCACCAGCUGGAAGCACCAAGUAUUUUGGCACUGCCAAAGCCCGCUACGACUUCUGUGCCCGGGACAGGUCGGAACUGUCCCUUAAGGAGGGUGAUAUCAUCAAGAUCCUCAAUAAGAAGGGACAGCAAGGCUGGUGGCGUGGGGAGAUCUACGGCCGGAUCGGCUGGUUCCCUUCUAACUAUGUGGAGGAAGACUAUUCCGAAUAUUGCUGAGCCUGGUGCCCUGUAGGACACAGAGAGAGGCAGAUGAAGGCUGAGCCCAGGAUGCUAGCAGGGUUGAGGGGCCAUGAACUGUCCUCACCAGCGGAGGAUCUGGAUGGCGUGCAGAUGGCUAGUGGCCAGCUGGCAGGGUUCCCAGGAUAAAGCCCAGAGAUGCGUAAUUUAUAACACACUGAUUUUCUCCAGUCCUCCACGAAAGGUGGGGCUUGAGGCAACUGAUUCUAAUAAAGUGAGGAGAGCAGGAACUGGCGUGUUCCAGACUGACUGUAAGGGGAGCCACAGGGUGGGCACGCACUGACCAAAGUUCACUCAAGCAAUGCCCUCCUUGUGUCAAGGCCUCCCUUCUCUGACUUUUACAGUACAGGUUGAAGGAGACCUGGGAUUUCUACGCAGCAGAAGAGAGUGCUGUCUUUACAGGGUCUGGAUUGCAGAAAUCAAGUCUAUACCUCCCCUUCCCUUCUUUUUGUCCUCAACGCCAAGGAAAGACCUCUUGACCUCAGCAUGAUAGGAAGACACACUACAGCUGAGCGCCUCACUGGGAGAUUCUAGGCAGGGGAUCCACCACAACCAUUCCCUAACUCCUCACUGGGGGGAUUCUGGGUGGGGCUCCACCCCCUGACCACGCCCCAGCCCUUAUUGUGGGCUUCUGGUAGUGGGGUUGGGGGAGGGGAGGGGACUCUACUGCUGUGCCACACUCCCAGUCCUUUAAAAUCUUCGAGACAAGGUCUUGCUAAAUAGGCCAGACUGACCUUGAACAUAUUGCAGCUGGACUUCAACUUGUCAUCCUCCUGCCUCAGCUUCCUUAUAAUAGAAGUUAAUGUUUUGAGUUCUCUCCUUCCGCUGAGUAAGGGAAAAAAACCUCAAUAUAUUCUCUCUUCCCCCCCCCCCUUUAUUAUAUAUAUGAGUACGCCCUCGCUGUCUUCACACACACCAGAAGAGGGCAUCAGAUCCCAUUACAGAUGAUUGUGAGACACCAUGUGGUUGCUGGGAUUCGAACUCAGGACCUCUGGAAGAGCAGUCAGUGCUCUUAACCCCUGAGCCAUCUCUCCAACCUCUCAAAAUAAGCUCUUCAAAAAUCUAGGGUAAAUCCUAUAAACCUUGGCUCUGGUGUACUGAGGAGAUAGCCAGCUCUCCUUUGCUGCCUUGCUUCCUGUGGAGACGACAUUGCUCACAUCAGAACCCUUCUUGGCCCGCCAGGUAGAACAACCGCACGCACUCUGGUUUACCCAGGCUCAUUUUGCCUGUUGCCCUGGUGUAGUUAUCUGUGACCUGUGUCCUACUUUGAUUUUUGUUGCUGUGGCAAACGACUUGACCUAAUGCUCCCCGCGGAGGAAAAGAUGUAUGUUUUGGCUACACUUCCAGUGUCCACAGUUUGUCACUGAUGGAAGUCAGGGCAGGAGCUGAAUCAGGAGCUGAAGCAGGGGCCAGGGGGCGGGGGAUGCUCUUACUGGCUCAUUAUUGGCUUUAUGCCCAGCUACCAUCCUUUCUUCUUUUUCAGUAAUAAAGUUUUUACUUACUUUA